UACAGGGGGUGCAAACGUUGCUCGGAAUUAUUGGGCGUAAAGCGCGCGUAGGCGGCUACUUAAGUCGGAUGUGAAAGCCCCUGGCUCAACUGGGGAAGUGCACCCGAAACUGAGUGGCUUGAGUACUAAAGAGGGUCGCGGAAUUCCCGGUGUAGAGGUGAAAUGCGUAGAUAUCGGGAGGAACACCUGUGGCGAAAGCGGCUCACUGGACCACAACUGACGCUGAGGCGCGAAAGCUAGGGGAGCAAACAGG
rnacentral:rRNA from 1 species